rnacentral:rRNA from 1 species
UACGUCGGUGGCAAGCGUUGUCCGGAAUUAUUGGGCGUAAAGCGCGCGCAGGCGGUCCUUUAAGUCUGAUGUGAAAGCCCACGGCUCAACCGUGGAGGGUCAUUGGAAACUGGGGGACUUGAGUACAGAAGAGAAGAGUGGAAUUCCACGUGUAGCGGUGAAAUGCGUAGAGAUGUGGAGGAACACCAGUGGCGAAGGCGACUCUGUGGUCUGUAACUGACGCUGAGGCGCGAAAGCGUGGGGAGCAAACAGG